GCAAGUCGAACGAACCCUUCGGGGUGAGUGGCGCACGGGUGCGUAACACGUGGGAACCUGCCCUUAGGUUCGGAAUAACACAGAGAAAUUUGUGCUAAUACCGGAUAAUGUCUUCGGACCAAAGAUUUAUCGCCUUUGGAUGGGCCCGCGUAGGAUUAGCUAGUUGGUGAGGUAAAGGCUCACCAAGGCGACGAUCCUUAGCUGGUCUUAGAGGAUGAUCAGCCACACUGGGACUGAGACACGGCCCAGACUCCUACGGGAGGCAGCAGUGGGGAAUAUUGGACAAUGGGCGAAAGCCUGAUCCAGCAAUGCCGCGUGAGUGAUGAAGGCCUUAGGGUUGUAAAGCUCUUUUACCUGGGAUGAUAAUGACAGUACCAGGAGAAUAAGCCCCGGCUAACUCCGUGCCAGCAGCCGCGGUAAUACGGAGGGGGCUAGCGUUGUUCGGAAAUACUGGGCGUAAAGCGCACGUAGGCGGCUCAGCAAGUCAGGGGUGAAAUCCCGGGGCUCAACCCCGGAACUGCCCUUGAAACUGCUAGGCUAGAAUCUUGGAGAGGCGAGUGGAAUUCCGAGUGUAGAGGUGAAAUUCGUAGAUAUUCGGAAGAACACCAGUGGCGAAGGCGACUCGCUGGACAAGUAUUGACGCUGAGGUGC
rnacentral:rRNA from 1 species